UGCGCAGGCGGGCUUGUAAGUCAGUGGUGAAAAUACUGCCGCUUAACGGUAGAACUGCCAUUGAAUACUGCGAGUCUUGAGUAUGGUUGAGGUAGGCGGAAUGUGUUGUGUAGCGGUGAAAUGCAUAGAUAUGACACAGAACACCGAUUGCGAAGGCAGCUUACUAAGCCAUUACUGACGCUGAGGACACGAAAGCGUGGGAGCGAACA
rnacentral:rRNA from 1 species